UUAAAUAUUAAAGUAAUGACAAUUACAAAAAUAAAUUAAAAAAUCAUAGCUGAAAAAAAAUGAAAAUGGAUUGUUAAAAUUAUAACUAAAUAAUUACCCGAUUCCCUACCCGACUCGAUUUCAAACUCGAAUUUUUUAGAACGAAUCUGGACCCGACUCGGCCCAACCUAAACGAUCCAAAAUUGACCCAAUUUGACCUCCUUAUUAUAUUUUUUACUAACCCAAAUAAUCAAAACCAUUUGAAUCAAAUGACCCAAAAUUCAACCUAAAUCUAAUCCGAUAUUUUGAAUUGACAAGUCCCGAUGACCUGAUCCAUAUAACAAUCUGGAUACAAGCUCUAAAAGGGAGGGAAAAUGAAAAAAAAAUAAUAGGGUGGAAAAAUUAAAAAGAAAGAAAAAGGGCGGAAGAAUUUCUGCUACUACGAUCUUCACAAUAGCUAUUCAGUUACCUGAUUUGUUCUUCUUCCUCACUCUCUCUCUCCUCAAAGAUGGAGGUGUAGACGCACUGCCGCAAGAUAUACACCACCACAGCUGGCGACAAAUACUCUUGCAUUUCUUGUUCUAUCUCCUCUAGCUUGGUAUUCUAGGGUUUUUUUUGGAGCUUUUACUUCUGCAAUUCUCGUUUUUUUCUCUCCUCUAGCUUAAUUGGUAUUCUAGGGCUUGACAAAUUAUGUGGUUAAUUUCAGAAAAUAUUUCCUAAUUUGUAAAAUUUGGGCUUGAUUUUCAAUGAAAUCAAAGGGAAUUUCUCAGCGCUUCAACAAAUCAGAGAAAAAGUUGCAAAAGACCGUCAGAAAAAGAAAGAGGAGACAAUUUCUAAGUCUGGUUGGGUGGGCUGAUUCCGAAAUCAUUGUCUGUAGAAGGAGAGCAGGUUGCUGCUGGGUGGCCUACUUGGCUUGCCGCCGUUGUAGGGGAGGCUAUCUAAGGAUGGGUGCCGCAGCGAGCUGAUACAUUGAUAAGUUAAAUAAGGGACCUCAUAAAGAAGCGCUUUUUGGGAGGCAACCCGAGUUCAAGUUCAACUAAGGCACCUAAAACUUAUACUAAUUUCAAGUCAAGCCAGGAUGGGCUACCUGAAUUAUCAGAAAAUCCAAUUCAUCCUAAGUAUCCUGAUAUCACUUUAUCUAGGAGUGGGCCAGGAAAUUAAACUUGUAGCACAUGGUGUUAAAGGUUUUGGUAAGCAUGCAAAGUUGUCCCCAUUUGCUACUGCUUGAUACCGGAUGCUUCUUGAGGCAUUGCUGGUCUCUGGUGGAAGUGAUGGUUUACUAAUACUUUGGAGUGCUGAGCUUGGUCAUGAUUCACGAGAUCUUGUACCCAACCUUAGCCUAAAGGCACACGAUGGUGGAGUUGUUGUAGAAUUAUCAAGAGUGUCUAGUGGUGCUCAGUGCUCCACAACUUAUUACAAUUGGCGCAGAUAAAAUAAUGGCUAUAUGGGAUACAGUCUCAUUCAAAGAGAUGCGGGGAUAAAACCAGUUCCAAAGAUAUCUUGCCAUAGUGUGGCAUCUUGGUGUCAUCCUCGAAAUUUAGGUCUCAAAGGCUUAAAGUGCAGCCCACGCUUAGGGAGAGCCCUCUCCAAGGACCCGCGGGUGCGGCAACGAGAGGAGAUGGCGCGGACAGGGUUUUAAUUCUCCAUCGAGUUCCUGGACAGGCGCGACAGUUUGACCCGCGGACGCGGCGAACUAGGUUUCAUAAAAUUUUAUUUUCUUAUUUUUUUAGGGCAUUAAGGGCACCGGUUAACCAAUAGUGAAAUUCUAUUGGAUUUUGUUGUUUGGAUUUUGAUGAGUACACAUGAAUUUUUUUUUGUAUAAAAUCAAUUUUCUUCUAUAUUGAUGUCAUGUUUCCUAUUAGAUUGAUUAUUGUCUAUUGUUGAGUUCACAUGUUGAUUCAUCUUUAUUCAUUCAAUUUAUAAUUUACAUAUAAUCGCUUUUAAGGUGUUGCUUUUAAGAUAUUUAGCAUCACUUUUUUU